GAUGAACGCUAGCGACAGGCUUAACACAUGCAAGUCGAGGGGCAGCACAGGUAGCAAUACCGGGUGGCGACCGGCGCACGGGUGAGUAACGCGUAUGCAACUUACCUAUCAGAGGGGGAUAACCCGGCGAAAGUCGGACUAAUACCGCAUAAAGCAGGGAUCCCGCAUGGGGAUAUUUGCUAAAGAUUCAUCGCUGAUAGAUAGGCAUGCGUUCCAUUAGGCAGUUGGCGGGGUAACGGCCCACCAAACCGACGAUGGAUAGGGGUUCUGAGAGGAAGGUCCCCCACAUUGGUACUGAGACACGGACCAAACUCCUACGGGAGGCAGCAGUGAGGAAUAUUGGUCAAUGGCCGAGAGGCUGAACCAGCCAAGUCGCGUGAGGGAUGAAGGUUCUAUGGAUCGUAAACCUCUUUUAUAAGGGAAUAAAGUGCGGGACGUGUCCCGUUUUGUAUGUACCUUAUGAAUAAGGAUCGGCUAACUCCGUG
rnacentral:rRNA from 1 species